CGUAAAAGUUUGUCUGGGCUCGCGCCCCCGAGCUGCACAACGCCCUCGGGCUAGUGUGGAAGGCACUGGCCGCGCUGUGUUGACAGAGCAGGUAGAGGACACUCCAGAGACGAGGUGUGGAUAACUGAAACUAGCCUAUGAGCAACGAGUUUUCUCCUUGGCUGAUGCUGGUGGCAGUCGGCCUGCAGCACAGGUUGUGCCAGAUUUACUCAGCAUUGCUGCUGGGAUUUCCCAAUCUCCACCUGCAAGAGGAGCCCCAGAGCAUCAUCUCCAUGGCUGCUCCCGUGCCUGAUGUAAGCUAUUAUUCACCAGGGAGCUUUGGCAAGAGAAUUGGCUAGAUCAGCAAAUCCAUUUGCACUGAGGAAAAACAACUUGAAGCUCAUCUCUAUUGAUGCUUCCUGCUGAAGGACACCCUUGGAGGCAGCAGAUCAUGGCCUGAAUACGUGAACUCUCUCACCCACGUGGAAGUCAGCACGAAGUUCCUGGCUCCUGGCUUCUGCCUGGUCCAACCCUAGCUGUUGUGGGAGUGAAUCAGCAGAUUUCUGCACCAGCCUGUGCCAGGAUGAACUCUCAGAUGAAUGUCUUAAGGAGCUGGAAGGAACAUGGAACUUUGGGGCUUCUAACUCAGACUGACCUAUACCAUCAGCCCUCCUGGUUCUCCAGCUGGCCAACCACGGAUCUUGGGAACUGCCAGCCUCCAUAACCACGUGAAAUAAUUACAAAUGGAAUUCCAAGAAACAUGCUAUAUAAUCCCGUAUUUGAAAUACUUUGUCAUCCAAAGAAGUUUGGAAUUUAUCCUGAGGUCAAAGAAAUGACAGAUGAGAUCAUUCCAGCUGCAGUGUGAAGAAUGAAGAAAGUAGGGCAACAGUGACACAAAUUUAGGCACCUCUAUCAGAGGGGAAGUAACCUGUCCUAGGGUAAAGGCAGUGGGGUUGGGGAGAAGUAGAUGACUUGAAGGAAGUUAAGAGGAAAGAGGAAAAUAGGACUUGAUGACUGACUGGAUACAGGUCCCCAGUGAAGGCAGAGCUGGGAUCAAGGCUGAUGGUCAGGUUUUCUGCCUGGGCGAUGGUGUUUGCAGUGGUGCUUGUACAUUGAGAACAUAAAAGGUGAAGAGAGUGUCAAGCUGUUUGUAAGCAGCAGUUAACUGGUAGGCUGGCUCCCCGCACUUGUGUAGAUUCCUGUGAGAAGGAAACCAUGAGCCCAGAUAGAAUUGGACAGUUUGUUAUUCAAAGCAGUGUAGGCAGCUUGACCUUCAUUUUUGAAUAGGUUCCCUAAGUCCUAUAAUACGGAGUGAGUCACAGAUAGAUGUUGUACAUACAGUAGAUCUGUGUCUCCCCAAUUGUAAAAGAGGUUACUUGCCCAGCCUUUGUCCUAAAAGGUGACAUAGUCUUUACUGUUCCGGUUAGGAAACAAAUGUGGGCCCUAACCCACAGGUGUACCCUGCCUCUGGAAUGACACACAUAGAAGCUUCAUGUAUAGUUACCUCCCAGCAGUAAGGUAAUGUUUCAGUUUUGGUCAUAUUGAAUUUGAUAUGCUCACGAUGCCUAAAUAAAAGAUACUCAGUAGAUGGUGAAUUAUUUUUAGGAAUAUCGAGUAUAGUGUUUACAGAAAUGAGAUAAUAAUAACAUGUAUAAGCUUUGGCUAUGUUAAAAUAAUAGUGCCACCGUCAUCUGUAGCUAGUUACAGCAAGUAGUUAUUAUGUUACCUAAUUAACCAGGAUGAUAUAAUUAAUUAUUUUAUGCAUUACAGACUUAGUUCAUCUAGGCUUAGGCUUUUGUUUCUCACAAGGUUUGAUGAUCUGCUAACAGCCUCAGAACACAAAGUAGUGUGGUGGCAAGAUAUUUAUGACACACUGGAACUGGCCUUGUGACUGUGAUGUUCACUUGCUUUAGUCUGUUUUUUAAAAAGAUGUAUUUAUUCUUAUUUAAAAGUCUAGACUUACACUCUCCAAUAGAAAUAAAAUGAAAACCAAAAAUGUGAGCCAUAUAUAAUUUAAGAUUUGUUAGUAACCACACUUUAAAAAGAAACAGGUAAACUUAAUUUACUUUAUUUAAGUCAAUAUAUCAAAAAUAUUUUAAUAUAUCAACACAACAUUAUUAGAUAUUUUACAUUUUUCAUACUCAGUCUUUGAAAUCUGAUGUGUAUUUACAGUUAUAGCAUGUCUCAAUUUGGACUAGACACAUUACAAGCAUGUCUGUGGCUACUAGGUAUUACAACAGUAUAGGUCAAGGCUUCAAGAACAAGAAGUUGUAUUUUAUCAUUAUGAUGGAGAUAGUUCUCGUUCCUAUUGUACACUUUGGACUUUUUAUUUAUUAAAAGCCAGGGAGACAAAAAGAUGGAUAGAGAGAGAUCUCUCAUCUGCUACUUCAGUCAGUAAAUCUCUUCGACAGCUGGAGCUGGACUAGGCUGAAGGUAGAAACCAGGAACUCAAUCUAGAUCUCCCAUGUGGGUGGGAGGGACCCAGCAAUUGGAGCCAUUGGCUGCUGCUUCUUAGGGUUUGCAUUAGCAGGAAGCUGGAAUUGAGAGGGAACUGGAACGCAGCCACUGUGAUGUGAGAUGUAGGCAUCCUAAGAAGCAUCUUAACCGCUGUGCCCAUGGCUGUCCCAAGUAUGGUAUAUGUUUUAUUUAAAAAUAUUCAUUAUACAGGAUAACUAGUGUUAUAAUGAAGAAACAAAUGAGCACCGAAUUUACAUGUUUUGUUUGUUUUUUGAUGAGGUCAUGGGUUUCACUUCAAAUCAGCUAAAUAUCACAGCACAUAAAAUAGACAUCUUGGCGGGGCCGGCACCGUGGCUCACUUGGUUAAUCCUCCACCUGCGGCGCCGGCAUCCCAUAUGGGCACCGGGUUCUAGUCCCGGUUGCUCCUUUUCCAGUCCAGCUCUCUGAUGUGGUCCGGGAGGGCAGUGGAGGAUGGCCCAAGUGCUUGGGCCGCUGCACCUCCAUGGGAGACCAGGAAGAAGCACCUGGCUCCUGGCUCUGGAUCAGCGCAGCCCCUGCUAUAGCGGUCAUUUGGGGAGUGAACCAACGGAAGGAAGAUCUCUCUCUCUCUCUCUCUCUCUAACUCUACCUGUCAAAUAAAAAAUAAAAAAAAUACAUUUUGGAAGAUAAAUUAGGCUUGUGGGGUAUAUCAUUGAUCAAGUAUUCAAAGAUUUCACCAAGUGGUCUAAGGAGGCAGGAUAUUUAAAGUGUAGUUAAAUACACAUCAUUUACCCUUGAGGAAUAAGUUAUGUGUUGGUAGAAUUUGAUACAUAAUGAAAUGCCUCUACAUUGUGUGGCAGGUGAAUAUUUAUUUAUUUACAUGUUGACAAAUGUAUUGGCUCUGCAGUGCAGAAGCAUCUCAAAAACCUAGAAGAGUUCUGUUAAGUAAUUUAAUGAAAAACAGACAUUGAGAAGAAAAUUCAGGCACUCUGUGUGCCCUUAGUAUAGCAGUUGGAAAUGAUAUGUUUGAAGGUCUGAAGUAUGUUAGCAGUUUUAGAAAAAGACUAAUUUAUUAGUUUGAAAAACUUAAGACCUUCUUGGAGACUGAGGAUGCAUGGAAAUAACAUACUGAGUUUGCUUUGGGCAAACCAGUAAAUCCUGGAACUAGCUAUGUAUUUUAGUGAGGACACCUUUAACCUUAACUGCUAAAGUGCAGCCAUGUUGAGUUAUGUAUUGAGGGAAUGUAUGCAGGGAAAAGUGAGCUUCUGUGCUGAAUGAGGGAGUGAAAGCACUGACUUGUAAAGCCUGUGGCUGUCUCUUUGAUGUUGAUUACUACUUGUGAUUGUUUGUUGACUUACGGAGAAAAGUGAAUAGUGAGUGCUACUAGUUAAGAUUUUCUUUUAGAGACUGUUCUAUAGGAAGAGACAAAUAGUUCUACUUUGUCCUUGUGUUAUUUAGGAGCAACAGCCUUAAACAUUAGAGCAAUUCUGUCACAGAGUGAUGCAGAACAGAUGUGCGUGGGGAUAGCAUCGAGUAAGAGAGUCAAGAUGCGGUAGGGUGAGCACCGUCUGCCUUGUUUCUGUGGCCUAGGAAGACUGUGAGUAUGCCACUAUCCAUUUUUGCAAGUUUGUCAGGCCCCCAUGGCAAGGAUUAAUGUGUGUUUCUGACUUAACCAUUCAUGUGUUAAGCUCAUUUUCAUUUAAUAUCUUGCUUUGGAAUGAAAUUUUGGGAAUGGAAGGAUUACUGUAAAAAGGAAUCCAAAUAAAGGCUUAAAAAGUUUAAAAACUGGCCUCUGAGAAGAGGAGGUUUGAGCUGGGACUUGAAGGAGAUGGAGGAGGAACCUACAGGUGCCUGGGGAGGAGGCUUCCUGACAGAGGGGAGAGUAGAUGCCAGGCCCUUGUGCAGGAAUGUACUUGUAGUUGGAGCAUGCCCAGUGUGGCUACAGAAAGGGGUUACUGUCAUUGACUGUCUUUUCCAUUUCCCACCUACUACUUACACAAACUGACUUGAAAUGAGAAAAAUUAGGAGAAAAAUGUUACACCAUAUACCAAUGGGUUUUAAGUUUUUGAAAAUAUUAUUUAAAGGGGCUGGCACUGUGGCAUAUCAGGUAAAGCUGCCAUCUGCAGUGCUGGCAUCCCAUAUGGGCACCUGUUUGAGUCCUGGCUGCUCCACUUCCGAUCCAGCUCUCUGCUAUGCCCUGGGAAAGCAGUAGAAGAUGGCCCAAGUCCUUGGGCCCCUGCACCCUCAUGGGUGGCCUGGAAGAAGCUCCUGGCUUCUGGCUUUGGAUCCACCCAGCUCUGGCUGUUGCAGUCACUAGGGAGUGAACCAGUGGAUGGAAGGCCUCUCUCUCUGCCUCUGCCUCUCUGUAACUCUGCCUUUCAAAUAAACAAAUAAAUCUUUGUUUAGAAAUAAAUGUGAAAAUCUAGACCAAAUUAGUGAUAUUACAGUCUAUAUUAUGAUGGGAAAAUAGCAGAAAACUUUAGUAGUCAGAUCCAAGGGGCUUCUACUGGCCAUAUCUGGGACAAUUUGAACUUCAAAUGAUGAGAAAAAUAGAUUUUGAUCCAUCAUAAAAAAUAUGUGAAUCCACACUUACAAUAAAAAACAAGGAAGUAGAAUAUCAGCUAAUAAAUGUAGGAGAAAUGAUAGUGCUCAAAAAUCACCAUUUUGCAACCAUCAUAACCAUCAGACAAAAAUCAUCAAUGAAGGAUAAUACCAAUAAGUUAAUUGUUUUUUGUGGUUUAAAGAUUUAUUUAUUUUGAAAGGCAGAGUUAGAGAGAGAGAGAGGGAGAGACACACAGAGAGGUCUUCCAUUUGCUGGUUUACUCCCCAGAUGGCCUCAAUGGCCAGGGCUGAGCCAGGUUAAAGCCAAGAGCUUCAUCCAGGUCUCCCACGAGGAUGCAAGGACCCAAGCACUUAGGCCAUAUCCCACUGCUUUCCCAGGCACAUUAACAGGGAGCUGGAUAGGAAGUGGAGCAGCCAGGACUUGAACCAGAGCCCAUAUGGGAUGCUGGCACUGCGGGAGACAGCUUAACCUGCUACUCCACAGUGCCAAUCCCAGUAGGUGAGAAUUUGAUGAGGACUGAGAUAUUUCCAGUGUCUUAAAAAAUUCCCAAAAAUUACUGUUUAAUUACAAAGUACUUUACAGUGGAGUAACCUAGUGGAUAAUACCUUAAUUGGUCAAGUAAUAAAGGUUAACAUCUUCCAGAAUUGAACAAACCAAUAUCAUGUGCUUCCUGAUGAGAUACACUAAGAAUAACAGGGAGUCAUUUAUACAGUAUUACUGCCAAAGAUGCAUAAGCUAAAUCUAAUUAUGAGGAAAUACUAGACAAACUCAAAUAGGGAUUUUUACAAAGGAAGCUACUUGUGCAGUCACAAAGGUCAAUAUUGUGAAAGAAAGGAAAGGCUGCUUCUGGACCAGAGAAGCAAAAAUUGAUAGAAAGGUCCAUUUGGGGACAAUUGGCAAAAUUUAAGUAAGUUCUUUUUUUUUUUAUGUGCCCUUAUUUUUUUUAUUUUUAUUUUUUAUUUUUUUUAACUUUUAUUUAAUGAAUAUAAAUUUCCAGUGUACAGCUUAUGGAUUACAAUGGC